ACCGAGGAUCGGACCGCCAGGGUCCCCUCCCUCGGCCGCCACCCAUCACACACUGCACCCGACCCCUUUGGCCCAUCUCACGGGUGAUGGGCCCAUGAGAGGGGGGGCCCAUAUUUCCUCUUCGGGCUAAGCCCGGCCGGGCUCCAUGGGAAAAAGCCCAGCCACCAGACGCUCGCCGUCGUGCCCCCCCCUCCAGACCUGGCUCCAGAGUGAGGCCCCGGUGACCCGCAUCCGAGCGAGGGAACACAAAGUCCAAUGGUGCCGUUCAUCAUUGGGGUCUUCGGACUGCGCUUUGUCUGGCCCCUCACCUAGGACUUGUCUGCCUUGGGUGACCCUACCAGGGACAUGAAGCCCCAGACAGCAUAGCUCCUAGGAUCAUUGGGACACUCAAACCCCUCCACCACGAUAAGGUGGCAGCCCAAGGAGAGGUGAUUAAUUUAUAUUUCUUAUAUUGCUCUGUUUUUUAUUUCAUUUCAGUGUCUAAAAUCCUCUGAAUCUGAGGAAAACUUAGGUAUGAGAUGCUGCACUAUGUUUUAUUUAUUAAUUUUUUAAAUUAUUUUUUAUUAGAUUUUUUUUUUCCAUUUCAAGCAAGUGCAGCUCGUGAGGAUUGUCCGGUAACUGAACUGGAGCAGGAAAAGUUCUCGGGAAAGACAGUAAUCCAACAAAACCCACAACACACUCAUUUUACAAUCCUCCCAGUUGCAGUGGUGAUGUGGUCAGAUGUCGCUACAGGACGAACUGCAGAAUCAGUUACAGGACCUGAACGUACACGGAAGCCAUUUUGAACCCCUCAGCCAGUGACUCCCUAUUCCAUCUCAUGCGAGCUCCCCUUAAUCUCUGGAGGGAUCUUCCUCACUGGACUGUCAUGAAGUGGUGGUGUGAGGUGGUGAGGCAGACGCUAAGGAUCCAGGCAGAUAUGAGAAAAUUAUUAUUUUAAUAAUGAAAAACAAAUCUAAAGUCCAAAAAACCUGGCAGCACAGCUGAGUGGAAGCUAAGGCUCAACACUGGUAGAAAACAGGACAAAUGAAUGGACACAACAACGGAACGAGCAAACAUCAGACGAGGACCCGACAAAGACACAGAGACACAGGUGACAUUAAAUACACAGGAGGUAAUCAGGGAACGAGAUACACCUGGGA